UGGGGAAUAUUGGACAAUGGGCGCAAGCCUGAUCCAGCCAUACCGCGUGGGUGAAGAAGGCCUUCGGGUUGUAAAGCCCUUUUGUUGGGAAAGAAAAGCAGCUGGCUAAUACCCGGUUGUUCUGACGGUACCCAAAGAAUAAGCACCGGCUAACUUCGUGCCAGCAGCCGCGGUAAUACGAAGGGUGCAAGCGUUACUCGGAAUUACUGGGCGUAAAGCGUGCGUAGGUGGUUGUUUAAGUCUGUUGUGAAAGCCCUGGGCUCAACCUGGGAAUUGCAGUGGAUACUGGGCGACUAGAGUGUGGUAGAGGGUAGUGGAAUUCCCGGUGUAGCAGUGAAAUGCGUAGAGAUCGGGAGGAACAUCCAUGGCGAAGGCAGCUACCUGGACCAACACUGACACUGAGGCACGAAAGCGUGGGGAGCAAACA
rnacentral:rRNA from 1 species